UACAGGGGGUGCAAGCGUUAUUCGGAAUUAUUGGGCGUAAAGAGCGUGUAGGUGGUUUGUUAAGUCUGAUGUGAAAGCCCUGGGCUCAAUCCAGGAAGUGCAUUGGAUACUGGCAGACUAGAGUGCAGGAGAGGUGAGCGGAAUUCCCGGUGUAGAGGUGAAAUUCGUAGAUAUCAGGAGGAACACCGGUGGCGAAGGCGGUUCUCUGGGCCUGUACUGACGCUGAGGAACGAAAGCGUGGGGAGCGAACAGG
rnacentral:rRNA from 1 species